rnacentral:rRNA from 1 species
UAGGGAAUCUUCCGCAAUGGACGCAAGUCUGACGGAGCAACGCCGCGUGAGUGAAGAAGGAUUUCGGUUCGUAAAACUCUGUUGUUAGAGAAGAACAGCGCAUAGAGUAACUGUUAUGCGUGUGACGGUAUCUAACCAGAAAGCCACGGCUAACUACGUGCCAGCAGCCGCGGUAAUACGUAGGUGGCAAGCGUUGUCCGGAUUUAUUGGGCGUAAAGCGAGCGCAGGCGGUCAAUUAAGUCUGAUGUGAAAGCCCCCGGCUCAACCGGGGAGGGUCAUUGGAAACUGGUUGACUUGAGUGCAGAAGAGGAGAGUGGAAUUCCAUGUGUAGCGGUGAAAUGCAUAGAUAUAUGGAGGAACACCGGUGGCGAAAGCGGCUCUCUGGUCUGUAACUGACGCUGAGGCUCGAAAGCGUGGGGAGCGAACAGG